rnacentral:rRNA from 1 species
UAGGGAAUAUUGCUUAAUGGGCGAAAGCCUGAAGCAGCAACGCCGCGUGUGUGAAGAAGGCCUUCGGGUUGUAAAACACUUUUUCAGGGAAUGAGGAAGGACAGUACCCUCAGAAUAAGCCUCGGCUAACUACGUGCCAGCAGCCGCGGUAAAACGUAGGAGGCGAGCGUUAUCCGGAUUUACUGAGCGUAAAGCGCGUGCAGGCGGCACGGCAAGUUGGAUGUGAAAGCUCCCGGCUUAACUGGGAGAGGUCGUUCAAAACUGCCGAGCUAGAGUGCGGGAGAGGGAGGUGGAAUUCCGGGUGUAGUGGUGAGAUGCGUAGAUAUCCGGAGGAACACCAGUGGCGAAAGCGGCCUCCUGGUCCGCAACUGACGCUCAGACGCGAAAGCUAGGGUAGCAAACGG